GACGAACGCUGGCGGCGUGCUUAACACAUGCAAGUCGAACGGUGAAGGGACCGGUUUUUGCUGGUUCUGGAUGAGUGGCGAACGGGUGAGUAACACGUGAGUAACCUGCCCCCUUCUUCUGGAUAACCGCAUGAAAGUGUGGCUAAUACGGGAUAUUCUGCGCCUGCUGCAUGGUGGGUGUGGGAAAGAUAUUGUUUCGGUGGGGGAUGGGCUCGCGGCCUAUCAGCUUGUUGGUGGGGUGAUGGCCUACCAAGGCGGUGACGGGUAGCCGGCCUGAGAGGGUAGACGGUCACACUGGGACUGAGGCACGGCCCGGACUCCUACGGGAGGCAGCAGUGGGGAAUAGUGCACAAUGGGCGCAAGCCUGAUGCAGCGACGCCGCGUGAGGGAUGGAGGCCUUCGGGUUGUAAACCUCUUUCGCCAGUGAAGCAGGCCUGUCCCUUUUGUGGGUGGGUUGACGGUAGCUGGAUAAGAAGCGCCGGCUAACUACGUG
rnacentral:rRNA from 1 species